AUUGAACGCUGGCGGCAGGCCUAACACAUGCAAGUCGGGCGAGCGGCGGACGGGUUAGUAAUGUAUGGGGAUCUGCCUGAUGGAGGGGGAUAACUACUGGAAACGGUAGCUAAUACCGCAUACCAUCCGAUGCACCGAGAUGGGAUUAGCUUGUAGGUGUGGUAACGGCUCACCUAGGCGACGAUCCCUAGCUGGUCUGAGAGGUUGAUCGUCCACACUGUAACUGGGACAAGGCCCAGGCGCCUACGUGAGUGAGUAGUGGGGAAUAGGGCUCAACGGGCGAAAGUCAGCUACAGCCCAGCCGCGUGGAUGAGGAGGGACAACGGUUUGUAAAGUACUUUCAGUCGUGCGACGUUACCUUUAGAUGAUGCACCGGCUAACUCCGAGCCAGCAGCCGCGGUAAUAC
rnacentral:rRNA from 1 species